rnacentral:misc_RNA from 1 species
GAUGAAGAACUUAGCGAAAUGCGAUAAGUAAUGUGAAUUGCAGAAUUCAGUGAAUCAUCGAAUCUUUGAACGCACAUUGCGCCCCUUGGUAUUCCGAGGGGCAUGCCUGUUCGAGCGUCAUUAUAACCCCUCAAGCUCAGCUUGGUGUUGGGGCCUGCUGCACUGGCAGCCCUUAAAAUCAGUGGCGGCGCCAUCUGGCUCUAAGCGUAGUAGUUCUUCUCGCUAUGGAGUCCUGGUGGAUGCUUGCCAUCAACCCCCAAUUUUUCUAUGGUUGACCUCGGAUCAGGUAGGGAUACCCGCUGAACUUAAGCAUAUCAAUAAGCGGAGGA